rnacentral:rRNA from 1 species
UACGGAGGGUGCAAGCAUUAAUCGGAAUUAUUGGGCGUAAAGGGCGCGUAGGCGGAAUUGUAAGUCAGAUGUGAAAUACCGAGGCUUAACCUCGGUGCUGCAUUUGAAACUACAAGUCUAAGAGGAUAGACGGAGAAAACGGAAUUCCACGUGUAGCGGUGAAAUGCGUGGAUAUGUGGAAGAACACCUGUGGCGAAAGCGGUUUUCUAGUUUAUACCUGACGCUGAGGCGCGAGAGCAAGGGGAGCAAACAGG